CCUACGGGUGGCAGCAGUGAGGAAUAUUGGUCAAUGGGCGAGAGCCUGAACCAGCCAAGUCGCGUGAAGGAUGACGGCCCUACGGGUUGUAAACUUCUUUUGUCAGGGCGCAAUUGAGUCCACGUGUGGGCUUAGCGAGAGUACCUGAAGAAAAAGCAUCGGCUAACUCCGUGCCAGCAGCCGCGGUAAUACGGAGGAUGCGAGCGUUAUCCGGAUUUAUUGGGUUUAAAGGGUGCGUAGGCGGAAUAUCAAGUCAGCGGUAAAAUCGCGGGGCUCAACCUCGCUCCGCCGUUGAAACUGGCGUUCUUGAGUGGGCGAGAAGUAUGCGGAAUGCGUGGUGUAGCGGUGAAAUGCAUAGAUAUCACGCAGAACUCCGAUUGCGAAGGCAGCUUACUAAACUGCCACUGACAUUGAUGCUCGAAAGUGUGGGUAUCAAACAGGAUUAGAUACCCGGGUAGUC
rnacentral:rRNA from 1 species